CACUUUUUUCCCCCAAGAAAUAGACUCGGACGGCCUUUUCUUUGAAAUGCCAAAACCGCUGACAUCUCAUUCACAAAAAAUCUCCUCUUCCAUCUCCUGCUUAUGGCCACAGUAAGAUGGCUAUCAUACCUUCAUAACUUAUCACAUGUGUUCAGGAUUUAUCAGUGUCAUAUUAACGCACUGGGUACCUUUGGCAUGCCAAGUGCCAUUUUACUUAAUCUGACAAGAGCUGUAGGCUUAUUUAACCGCAUCUAAAUUUGCUAAACCAGAGCAGCUAUUUUUGGUGUGUAACUCUAAACUCGCAAUAAGCAAAAGCAACAGUUAAAAAUGAAUGCAAAUGAAAAUUAGAGAGUGAAAACUAAGUCUAAACUGGAAACAAACCAAAACAUCUAAGCUGACAAAUGGAUUUACCACAUUGCUUCGUCCUUAGAGUACUAGCUAAAGCUGUGACACAUGUGAGAAUAACCCUGUUUAUUUUAUUGGAGUUAUUUUGGCUCAGGGCUUAGAGACAUAUUUAGAAGACAAAGCCUGGAUUCAGUUCUAAGUUAAAGAGGGGCUUCAAAUUUACUAAACUAUCAAGUACCAUUAUGUAGGCUCCAGUGGUUUUAGAGGGCAAUUCACAUUAUGAAACAAGACCCAUGAUGCUUAUUAUUUUAAUUCCUGUGUUCUGCAAAAUAAGCUUUUUUUUUUUUUUCUUUUUUGUAUUUUGUAGUUCAAAAUAAGUCUCAUUUAUUUUAUACUGGGCCUUGGUGAAGCCUUGAUUAGUUGGAUUUGUGUGCCUGGGAAGACCGUAUUAAGGUUUUCACUCCUCACUGACAUACAGAGCUAAGAGUUGAAAAAAAGUGUGUGAAACCAAGAGCUUACAGAAGUCUGAAGCCUGAGAUUGUGGCUCAGAGGAAUCACUUGUACUUGUUCCUUAUUUUCUGUCAGAAAAUAAGGAAAAAAGCAUAAGAGAUUCCUCGUCAAACCCACUGAACAAGAACUGAUAUUUUUCUCCCCUCUUUUGCCACAUGGGGCUUAAAAGUGAAACAAGUUCAUACUGAAAACACACAUGAUUUCACGAUGAUUAAUUUUUAUGGCACUUAUCAGUGUAGAUCCAACAUCCUCUCACUUUUUUUGAUCUGUUUUUUUGGCACCUAACACCUGAGGAAGGAAAAUACCAUAUGUCACUGCAUCUGCUAAACAUGCUAACCAGCUAGCUGCUAAUGUCAUCUCUGCCAUUUAGCAUUAAGCAGGUAACGAGCAGUUGGUUUUUUUUCACUGAAAACAGCUGCCUGCUAUGGCCGAAAUCAACAGA
ensembl:lncRNA